rnacentral:misc_RNA from 1 species
UCAACAGUCAUCACGUCCCCAUUAAACCUCGUUAACCCACGUGGAUUAGCUCUCCUCGAAGGGGCACUUAAACCAGGAUUUGAAUUUACACCAUGAAAAAGGCUCUUAUCAUUGCUAUUUUCCUGCUCCAUAUUUUUGAAUAAUGCACUAGUUUGGUCCAAAACCCCACUAAAAAUAUCCACAUCGUUUGCAGCUGAGUUCUCAACCCCAACAUUUGCAUUGAAAAACUGGUUGAGAAAUCCUCCAUUGCCUCCUGCUGUCACUUGAGACUGGUCAUUUGAGGUCUGCAUUGGACCAAAUGUUGAGG